ACGCACGCUGGCGGCGCGCCUCACCCCUGCCAGUCGAACGGAGUCAAGAGGAGCUUGCUUUUCUUGACUUAGUGGCGAACGGGUGAGUAACGCGUGAGUAACCUGCCCUGGAGUGGGGGACAACAGUUGGAAACGACUGCUAAUACCGCAUAAGCCCACGGAUCCGCAUGGAUCUGCGGGAAAAGGAUUUAUUCGCUUCAGGAUGGACUCGCGUCCAGUUAGCUAGUUGGUGAGGUAACGGCCCACCAAGGCGACGAUUGGUAGCCGGACUGAGAGGUUGAACGGCCACAUUGGGACUGAGACACGGCCCAGACUCCUACGGGAGGCAGCAGUGGGGGAUAUUGCACAAUGGGGGAAACCCUGAUGCAGCGACGCCGCGUGGAGGAAGAAGGUUUUCGGAUUGUAAACUCCUGUCGUAAGGGACGAUAAUGACGGUACCUAACAAGAAAGCACCGGCUAACUACGUG
rnacentral:rRNA from 1 species